AUGAGAUAAAAUAAUAUAUAUUUUAUUAAUGUCCUUGUUGCCGUUUCAGUGAACAGAAAUGAGAGAAACAGCAGCAUGUAAUGAAAACAACAAAAAUGAAAACAAAAUUCGAAUGAAAACGAAAAAGAAAAUGACCCUGAACAACUAAAGCAACUUUCACACUCUGGCUUUAUUUAUUUGUGCCGAGCCAUGUUUGUCUGUCAAUCAUUCUGCAAAACACCUUCCAAUAGCAUACACAGACCAAAAUGUCUGUAAUUGCUGUUAUUAUAUGUAUACUCAACUCGCACAGGUGUGUCUAGGUGAGUCCGUCUGUCUGCAGACACUCUGUAUGUAUGUCAUCUCUUUUUUUUUUUUUUUUUGGCCUGAACUGCAUGGAAUUCAUGAUUGUUUUUGCACCUUAGAUUAACUUUACUGAAACACUAAACACCACAGCUACACAGGCUUGGGCAAUUUCUGGCGUUAUCAUUUGCCUAUACAUUAUUUCUAUUUUUAUAUAUUCACUUUGUUUUCAUUCAUU